AAAGGUGUAGGCCGCAGCUAAGACUGUCACCCCACCGAUCACCAGGUUGAUUAGGCUGCUCUGGCUACCUAGGAGGGUAUCCCCUUCCACCCUCACUGCUCCACUCUAUAUGCGUGCCUCCCAAAAGCUGCUCCCUUGGUCAACUGCAUACUCAGUCAAAGAGAAAGAUCUUCCACAAAUAGAGGAGGACUGGUCUUCCAUCAAGGAUAUACUAGUAGCUGUGCUCCCCUGCUACAACCUCUAAAUCUCAAGACUUUUAUUAGGAGACCCUUGAAAUCUACUCACUUCUAGUUAUGAGAGGGAACCACACAUCAACAUGUUGCUGGACUAAGCAGUGCCAUAGUCU
rnacentral:snRNA from 1 species